UCCAGGAGCUAAAUGCAGAUUGCAUCUAGGCAUACUUCCUUCAGCCAGCUGUUGAGGGUUUUAAAGUGCAAGGGUUCAGCAUUUGUACAGCGUAUUUUCUGCGAACUCAAUGAUGCCGUAUUAAGCAGGCACUUGGAGUGUGCUUCCAGAGUUGCAUUUUUCAGCAGCACAGCCGGGUGUUUAGGAGAGUGAUGACCGUAAUGAGGCUGAAGUAGUUUGAUGUGUUCACAGCUUUAUGAAGGUGGUUGUAUGGAUAGUCGAUACUCCAGGAAGACACAUGCUGAUAUUUCAGUAUGAUUAACACUGGCAACAGACAGGCUACUCUUCAAGAAGCAGCGCCUGUGGAGGAGUAAGAUGCUGUCUGAAAACAUGCAGCCUUGGAUGCACAUGACCCACCAGCCUUCUACUCCUGCUGCUAAGCCUUCCCAAAUUGUGAUGGAAAGACUCCCUUGAACUAGAAGCCAAAAUAAGCCUGUAUUCCCUACGUUGCUUCCUGGUCAAGGAUUUUGCCACAGCAAUGAAAAAAGUAACAAAUACUGAUUCCGAAGAAAAUGAGAAAGCUCUAUAGACAAAAGAGGAAAUCUGACUAGCAUUCUUAGCGAAUUAAGGGACAUGAAUCGUAUACCCAUCAGAGAAAAAGACUCUCAAAGUGUACACAUUCGCCACUCUAUCUGAAGAAAACUGUUGAUAAAAUCUUGUAAACUUGGCAUCUAAUGCGGAAAGUUCUUGAGGAGGAUGAGGAUUUCAACUCUCAACAACAACAUCUAACAAAACAUUUUCUGCAAAGAUUUAAAAAUAUGUUUCCAUAAGGAAAAAGAACUUCAUCAGGAAUAGCUAGUUAUGUGUAACUUCUUUUAUUAGUAUUCAUUAGUGUCUCUCACUUGAAAACAUGCCAAUUAGUAUUGUUGUUGUGCCUGCUUUUAAAAAACUAUUUUUUUAAAGCUGCAGUUAAAAUUUAAAGCUACAGUUAAUGACAGUGGCAUUUAAACACAAAGUGUUUCUAACAGCAAAGAAAAAAAUUCCUUACAUUUUUCAAAGCAAUUUUCUUUGUAUUGCCUCACUAUUUGGAAAUCAUGACAAAAUAUUGUUAAUGUAGUUUCUUAUUUUCUGAACUCAUAUAAGGAUUGGUUGUUUGGAAGAGGUCCCAUAUAGGCUGCACAGUGAACUCUUCCUACACAGCAUACAGGCCCUGCGGGGAAGGAAUGUACCUUCUACAUGGUCACCCAUGUUCUGGUUCAUAUUGUUAGUGAUGUCUAAAGUCCAGAUGAGUUUGUGGAGAGGCCUUUUGGGUUGUAGCACUUAAUUUCCUGUCAUACAUUUUGUGUUUCUUCAAAGCUUUCAAUAAAACAUUGACAACUGAGA